UACGAAGGGGGCUAGCGUUGCUCGGAAUUACUGGGCGUAAAGCGCACGUAGGCGGCUUUCUAAGUCGGGGGUGAAAUCCUGGAGCUCAACUCCAGAACUGCCUUCGAUACUGUAGAGCUUGAGUUCGGGAGAGGUGAGUGGAACUGCGAGUGUAGAGGUGAAAUUCGUAGAUAUUCGCAAGAACACCAGUGGCGAAGGCGGCUCACUGGAUCGGUACUGACGCUGAGGUGACGAAAGCGUGGGGAGCAAACAGG
rnacentral:rRNA from 1 species